rnacentral:rRNA from 1 species
UCAGGUAACACUGAAUGGAGGACCGAACCGACUUACGUUGAAAAGUGAGCGGAUGAACUGAGGGUAGCGGAGAAAUUCCAAUCGAACUUGGAGAUAGCUGGUUCUCUCCGAAAUAGCUUUAGGGCUAGCCUCAAGUGAUGAUUAUUGGAGGUAGAGCACUGUUUGGACGAGGGGCCCCUCUCGGGUUACCGAAUUCAGACAAACUCCGAAUGCCAAAUAAUUUAACUUGGGAGUCAGAAUGUGGGUGAUAAGGUCCAUAUUCGAAAGGGAAACAGCCCAGACCACCAGCUAAGGUCCCAAAAUAUAUGUUAAGUGGAAAAGGAUGUGGCGUUGCCCAGACAACUAGGAUGUUGGCUUAGAAGCAGCCAUCAUUUAAAGAGUGCGUAAUAGCUCACUAGUCGAGUGACACUGCGCCGAAAAUGUACCGGGGCUAAACAUAUUACCGAAGCUGUGGAUUGUCCUUUGGACAAUGGUAGGAGAGCGUUCUAAGGGCGUUGAAGCAUGAUCGCAAGGACAUGUGGAGCGCUUAGAAGUGAGAAUGCCGGUGUGAGUAGCGAAAGACGGGUGAGAAUCCCGUCCACCGAUUGACUAAGGUUUCCAGAGGAAGGCUCGUCCGCUCUGGGUUAGUCGGGUCCUAAGCUGAGGCCGACAGGCGUAGGCGAUGGAUAACAGGUUGAUAUUCCUGUACCACCAUUAUUCGUUUUAAGCGAUGGGGGGACGCAGUAGGAUAGGCGAAGCGUGCUGUUGGAGUGCACGUCCAAGCAGUGAGAUUGA